ACUCCUACGGGAGGCAGCAGCAGGGAAUCUUCCGCAAUGGACGAAAGUCUGACGGAGCAACGCCGCGUGAGCGAAGAAGGCCUUCGGGUCGUAAAGCUCUGUUGUUAGGGAAGAACAAGUAACGCAGUAACUGGCGUUUCCGUAACGGUACCUAACGAGAAAGCCACGGCUAAAUACGUGCCAGCAGCCGCGGUAAU
rnacentral:rRNA from 1 species